UCCAGGAAGAACUUAAAUGACCCCAGUGAGCCAACUGGAGUGAUCUUGUGUGCAGUUUCUUCUGCAUGGUUGCCAGUCUCUCCUCAUGUUCUGUUCGAUUUCUUGCGAGAUGAUGAUCAUAGAAAUGAGUGGGAUAUCAUGUCUAAUGGAGGUCCAGUGCAAUCCAUUGCAAAUUUAGCCAAAGGACAAGAUAGAGGCAAUGC
rnacentral:misc_RNA from 1 species